CCUACGGGAGGCAGCAGUGGGGAAUAUUGGACAAUGGGGGGAACCCUGAUCCAGCCAUGCCGCGUGUGUGAAGAAGGCCCUCGGGUUGUAAAGCACUUUCAGUGAGGAAGAACGCCUGGUGGUUAAUACCCAUCAGGAAAGACAUCACUCACAGAAGAAGCACCGGCUAACUCCGUGCCAGCAGCCGCGGUAAUACGGAGGGUGCGAGCGUUAAUCGGAAUUACUGGGCGUAAAGCGCGCGUAGGUGGCUUGAUAAGCCGGUUGUGAAAGCCCCGGGCUCAACCUGGGAACGGCAUCCGGAACUGUCAAGCUAGAGUGCAGGAGAGGAAGGUAGAAUUCCCGGUGUAGCGGUGAAAUGCGUAGAGAUCGGGAGGAAUACCAGUGGCGAAGGCGGCCUUCUGGACUGACACUGACACUGAGGUGCGAAAGCGUGGGUAGCAAACAGGAUUAUAUACCCCUGUAGUC
rnacentral:rRNA from 1 species